GUGGACUCUGUUUUUUUGCUCACUUUCCACGAAAUUUCGCCACCAAAUGAAUCUUCUUCCCAUAUAAAAACUCCAACCAAUCUAAGCAAACAUCAACUCCAUCAAACAAAACAUGUGGCCAACAAAUAUUGCUUCUAUAAUUUGCGCCGAAAUCGAUCAUACGAUUCCUUGCCAAGGAUAAUGAUGCACCGUUGCACACCGAAUUAUGAUGAUCAUCGUCACGCCGGACCACGGCGGUUGACGAAGCUGCUGAUAAGCGUAACGGUUCAGGGAAGAGUCGGGUCAGUUCAGCUGAUUAUGUCGCCGGAAAAUACGGUCGGACAUUUGAUAAAGGCGGUUUUAGAAGUGUUUGAGAAAGAGAGGAGAAGGCCUUUGUUGAAUGAGAAUCAUCCUAGUUGCUUUGAGCUUCAUUACUCACCCUUUAGCCUACAAAUCUCUUGUAGAUCUUACCUCAUGCAGACAUCUAUUCAUGCCAAAUAAAGAUUCAGAAGGGUGAAUUUUACGUCAGCAGACGUAGGAGCAUCAAAUUCCAGUCAACCGAGUCUGACGCAGACACCUGAAGGUCGCAGCAGACCGCUUAUAAUGUUGGGUUUUCUUAUGGAAGAUCACUCAGAGUUGACAUCAGACUAGCCGAAGCCAACACAUUCCCUCAUGAUUACAACAUCAUACCACCAGGGGUUGCCGAUUUUUCUCGCUUAGUAUGUGCAAACAAUUGCAGCUUUGAUAUCAGUUCUGGUGCAGACAUCUAUUCAUGCCAAAUAAAGAUUCAGAAUGGUGAAUCUUACGUCAGCAGACGUGGGAGCAGACGGUGGAGCAUCAAAUUCCAGUUAACCGAGUCUAACGCAGACACCUAAAGGUCGCGGCAGACCGCUUAUAAUAUUGGGUUAGCUGAUGUAAGAUCACUCAGAGCUGACGGCAGACUAGCCGAAGCCAACACAUGCCCUCAUGAUUCCUACUACUCUAUAACUAAAAAGGCAGGAUUGAUGCAUGUUUGAUCCAGUUCUCUGCAACAAGUGCUGAACCUGAAUACACAAACAUUUGGUAAUAAUGCGUAGACUAGAAUCUUAUGUAAAUAUGGUGACGAGUAAUGUAUUAGUUGCUGUUUAAAAGCAACACGAAAAUUCACAAUCCUUUUGUUGGUGUUUACUCACCUACUGCUACUGCUUCCCUUCUGCUCUCUGCAGUCCUACACCACAAGCAUCUAAACAGCUCGAGGCAACAACACAACAGCAAUGCAACAUUCUAGAAGCUUCAUGAUGACAUCACAGCUCUAACAACUUUCUCAUUCAGUUAUGGAUUCUGUUAUGCAUCAUGUAAUGACAUCAUUCUUGUAACUGAUUCUCUCCUAGCUUGUAACAGCUGAUGUGUACAUAUAAGGCCAUCUUAUUGGUUGAGCCA